rnacentral:tRNA from 1 species
GGAUUAUGGCUCAGUGGUAGAGUGCUGGCCUAGCAAGGCCAGGGGGCUGGGUUCGGUCCUCAGCACCA